CUUGAUCCAAAUUUAGUAACUACAAUUUGCAAAAAUGAAGAUGUUUAAUUUUUUUAACUUAUAAUACAAUAGUACCUGGUUUCAUUUAAAUCAUUUCCUCAUAGAACUGCAAGCAUUUUUGAAGGGCUGUUGGAGGAAGUAGAAAUCCCCCAAAUUAUCACACGCAGUUUCUAAAUGUCAUCUACCCACAUGCUUGCUGUUUAGAAUAAAGAAACAUAAGACAACUGAGAACCAAGGGAUUAAGUGCUAUUAACACACAGCUCAGCUCUAAUGCACUAGCUGUGAUGAUCACUUCAUGUAAGUCUCAUGUUUACUUGCGGGUUAGUUUUAGUGAGUAUUUACAACUUUUCUUUCCUCUGUAACAUUACCC
rnacentral:lncRNA from 1 species